GAUGAACGCUGGCGGCGUGCCUAAUACAUGCAAGUCGAGCGAACAGACGAGGAGCUUGCUCCUCUGACGUUAGCGGCGGACGGGUGAGUAACACGUGGAUAACCUACCUAUAAGACUGGGAUAACUUCGGGAAACCGGAGCUAAUACCGGAUAAUAUAUUGAACCGCAUGGUUCAAUAGUGAAAGACGGUUUUGCUGUCACUUAUAGAUGGAUCCGCGCCGCAUUAGCUAGUUGGUAAGGUAACGGCUUACCAAGGCGACGAUGCGUAGCCGACCUGAGAGGGUGAUCGGCCACACUGGAACUGAGACACGGUCCAGACUCCUACGGGAGGCAGCAGUAGGGAAUCUUCGGCAAUGGGCGCAAGCCUGACGGAGCAACGCCGCGUGAGUGAUGAAGGUCUUCGGGUCGUAAAACUCUGUUAGUAGGGAAGAACCAAUGUGUAAGUAACUAGGCAGGUCUUGACGGUACCUAAUCAGAAAGCAACGGCUAACUACGUG
rnacentral:rRNA from 1 species